UCUGCUCCAGCAGAACCCAAACUCACACACACACACACACACACACACACACACACUCUGGUAGGUAGUACGUACGGUACGGGUCGGUCGUAUAAACUAAACCUAACCCUACCUCUCUCUCUCUCUCUCUCUCUCUCUCACUCUCUCACACACACACACACACACACACACACACACACACUACAAACAUUCCCUCUCAGUUAUUCACGUCUGUUGUUUUUCUCGUUGAUUCUGUGUAAUCAUGAAUUAUUGCUGUCUUGUUUAAAGGUGCUGUUGUGGACGAAUCCAACGGCAAAGUCCUUGUUGUUCAGGACAGAAACAAGACUACGAAUGCUUGGAAGUUUCCCGGUGGUCUGUCAGAUCUUGGAGAAAACAUCGGUAAGGUUCGGAUUCAGAUCCAGAACUGAUGUUAAACAAUCACAACGGAACAUUCCUGUACACAAGGUUAAAUCACAGAAACUUGCAUUUAUAAAAACAUCAUCUAAUAUUUCAGACCCUCAAGACAUUCAGUUACUAAAAUACCCUUUUUAACUUCAAAUAAAACUAUACCUUCUCUGUCAAUAAAUGACUUGUAUAUAAACUAGAUUAUUGAUCGAUUACAUCCUUGCAUAGAUCACAAAAGCUUUCUCCAAAAAAAUAAAUGUUCUGUAUAAAAGUUCAGUAAAUGACAUUGUGUUCACAAGCGUACAAUAAAAGAUUUCAGUCUUUUUGCCUUUCUUAUGUUUUAUCCUACUCUGUGUUUCUCUAAAUCUCAUGAUAUAAGAUACAGUAUUAGUCAAACUGAUUGUGUGAAAGUAUUUAAAAACAGUUCACUCAAAAAUUAAAAUUUGAGAAAAAAUGUACUCAGGCCAUCCAAGAUGUAGAUGAGUUUGUUUCUUCAUCAGAUUUGUAGAAAUGUAGCAUUGCAUCAGUGUCUCAGCAAUGGAUGCUCUGCAGUGAAUGGGUGCCGUCAGGACUGGAGUGCUGUGGAUUAUUGUGAUGUUUUUAUCAGCUGUUUGGACUCUCAUUCUGACGGCACCCAUUCACUGCAGAGCAUCCAUUGCUGAGACACUGAUGCAGUGCUACAUUUCUACAAAUCUGAUGAAGAAACAAACUCAUCCACAAAUUGAUCGGCCUGAGGGUGAGCAGAAUUCAGCUAUUUUUCAUUCUUGGGUAAACUAUUCUUUUAAAGUCUAAUGUGGAUUUAUACCAACUAGGUUCCUGUUGCUGUGAAGCUGUGACAGUAUUUAGUUGCCUCUGAGAUUGGAGAGUUUAUUUCGAAUUAUAAAGCGGAUAGUUCUGGUCCUUGAUUCUGAUUGGUCGAGCCGCGUCCGAAGCUGUUGUAAAUUACUCUACAAACACACACCGUUGUUUACUUCUGUGUGUUGCUCGGCAACCGCUUUUUUGGAACCACAGCUGUUUUUGAGGAACUACAUUGUUUUGCGGAAAAAUAAUGUUUUUUUAAUAUCAUACACUUUAUUUGCUCUGUUUUAUUUUAUGAAACCUCACUACAUAUAUGGAAUAAAUGUUGAUAAAAGCAAUAAAGCUCUGUGACGUGAGGUUUACAGUGAAUUUAUAACCACGGCUUCUUGGGGUUCAUUGCUUUAUUUCUCUA
rnacentral:lncRNA from 1 species